AGAAAUGUCUACAUGGAAGUAUUCUUAGCGGCGGACGGGUGAGUAACACGUGGGUAACCUGCCUCAAAGUGGGGGAUAACCUUCCGAAAGGAAGAUUAAUACCGCAUAAGCCUACAGUGCCGCAUGGCACCGUAGGAAAAGGAGUAAUCCGCUUUGAGAUGGACCCGCGGCGCAUUAGCUAGUUGGUGAGGUAACGGCUCACCAAGGCGACGAUGCGUAGCCGACCUGAGAGGGUGAUCGGCCACAUUGGAACUGAGACACGGUCCAGACUCCUACGGGAGGCAGCAGUGGGGAAUAUUGCACAAUGGGCGAAAGCCUGAUGCAGCAACACCGCGUGAGUGAUGAAGGCCUUCGGGUCGUAAAGCUCUUUGAUCAGGGAUGAUAAUGACAGUACCUGAAAAACAAGCCACGGCUAACUACGUGCCAGCAGCCGCGGUAAUACGUAGGUGGCGAGCGUUGUCCGGAAUUACUGGGCGUAAAGGAUGCGUAGGUGGAUACUUAAGUGGGAUGUGAAAUCCCCGGGCUCAACCCGGGAACUGCAUUCCAAACUGGGUAUCUAGAGUGCAGGAGAGGAAAGCGGAAUUCCUAGUGUAGCGGUGAAAUGCGUAGAUAUUAGGAGGAACACCAGUGGCGAAGGCGGCUUUCUGGACUGUAACUGACACUGAGGCAUGAAAGCGUGGGUAGCAAACAGGAUUAGAUACCCUGGUAGUCCACGCCGUAAACGAUGGGUACUAGGUGUAGGAGGUAUCGACCCCUUCUGUGCCGUCGUUAACACAAUAAGUACCCCGCCUGGGGAGUACGUACGCAAGUAUGAAACUCAAAGGAAUUGACGGGGACCCGCACAAGCAGCGGAGCAUGUGGUUUAAUUCGAAGCAACGCGAAGAACCUUACCUGGACUUGACAUCCCUCUGACCGAUUCUUAACCGAAUCCUUCCCUUCGGGGACAGAGGAGACAGGUGGUGCAUGGUUGUCGUCAGCUCG
rnacentral:rRNA from 1 species